GACGUAGGGCGCAAGCGUUGUCCGGAAUUAUUGGGCGUAAAGAGCUCGUAGGCGGCUUGUCGCGUCGACUGUGAAAACCCGUGGCUCAACCAUGCGGUCUGCAGUCGAUACGGGCAGGCUAGAAUUCGGUAGGGGAGACUGGAAUUCCUGGUGUAGCGGUGAAAUGCGCAGAUAUCAGGAGGAACACCGGUGGCGAAGGCGGGUCUCUGGGCCGAUAUUGACGCUGAGGAGCGAAAGCGUGGGGAGCGAACAGG
rnacentral:rRNA from 1 species